rnacentral:rRNA from 1 species
GAAUAUUGGACAAUGGGGGGAACCCUGAUCCAGCCAUGCCGCGUGUGUGAAGAAGGCCUUUUGGUUGUAAAGCACUUUAAGCGAGGAGGAGGCUACUUAGAUUAAUACUCUAGGAUAGUGGACGUUACACGCAGAAUAAGCACAGGCUGACCCUGUGCCAGCAGCCGCGGUAAUACAGAGGGUGCAAGCGUUAAUCGGAUUUACUUGGCGUAAAGCGCGCGUAGGUGGCCAAUUAAGUCAAAUGUGAAAUCCCCGAGCUUAACUGGGGAAUUGCAGUCGAUACUGGUUGGCUAGAGUAUGGGAGAGGAUGGUAGAAUUCCAGGUGCAGCGGUGAAAUGCGUAGAGAUCUGGAGGAAUACCGAUGGCGAAGGCAGCCAUCUGGCCUAAUACUGACACUGAGGUGCGAAAGCAUGGGGAGCAAACA